rnacentral:rRNA from 1 species
GACGAACGCUGGCGGCGUGCUUAACACAUGCAAGUCGAACGGAAAGGCCCUGCUUGUGUGGGGUGCUCGAGUGGCGAACGGGUGAGUAACACGUGAGUAACCUGCCCUUGACUUUGGGAUAACUUCAGGAAACUGGGGCUAAGAUCGGAUAGGAGCCCCUGUAGCAUUGUGGGCGUUGGAAAGUUUCGGCGGUUGGGGAUGGACGCGCGGCUUAUCAGCUUGUUGGUGGGGUAGUGGCUUACCAAGGCUUUGACGGGUAGCCGGCCUGAGAGGGUGACCGGCCACAUUGGGACUGAGAUACGGCCCAGACUCCUACGGGAGGCAGCAGUGGGGAAUAUUGCACAAUGGGCGGAAGCCUGAUGCAGCAACGCCGCGUGCGGGAUGACGGCCUUCGGGUUGUAAACCGCUUUCGCCUGUGACGAAGCGUGAGUGACGGUAAUGGGUAAAGAAGCACCGGCUAACUACGUG